AAAUUGAAGAGUUUGAUCAUGGCUCAGAUUGAACGCUGGCGGCAGGCCUAACACAUGCAAGUCGAACGGUAGCACAGAGAGCUUGCUCUCGGGUGACGAGUGGCGGACGGGUGAGUAAUGUCUGGGAAACUGCCUGAUGGAGGGGGAUAACUACUGGAAACGGUGGCUAAUACCGCAUAACGUCGCAAGACCAAAGAGGGGGACCUUCGGGCCUCUUGCCAUCAGAUGUGCCCAGAUGGGAUUAGCUAGUUGGUGAGGUAACGGCUCACCAAGGCGACGAUCCCUAGCUGGUCUGAGAGGAUGACCAGCCACACUGGAACUGAGACACGGUCCAGACUCCUACGGGAGGCAGCAGUGGGGAAUAUUGCACAAUGGGCGCAAGCCUGAUGCAGCCAUGCCGCGUGUAUGAAGAAGGCCUUCGGGUUGUAAAGUACUUUCAGCGGGG
rnacentral:rRNA from 1 species